AUUUUCUGAUGUAUUGAGACUAUUUUGUAUUCUACUUAAUGAUAAUGGAUGUGUUGAACACUUGAAUCUAAAUGUAAGUUCGUGUAUAAUUAUAAAAUAGACAUAGAAAAUCAUAUAGAAUUUAGCGAUUGAUUCAUGAUAUAUAGUUAUAGAGAUACGAAUUACAAAUUAAAACAAACCCCACUCAUCUUUUAAACUCACAACCUCCUCCACUCUAUUAUUUAGUUGCAACCACAACACACU
rnacentral:lncRNA from 1 species